ACGAAGUCAUAGAGCGAAAGCUUUGUUGUGACUCUUCGCAGCAAUGUGAAUGGAAAUAAAUUUGGCUAUAUGCUGGAACAUCUGAGUAUACGACGCUACUUAUGUGCUAAAAUUAACACAUGAGUGAAAAUGCGGUCGUUGCAGACAAUCAGCAGGGAACCCUUCGACAAGCUCAGGGCAUGGGCCUUCGGCAAGUCGGUUGGGACACCUCAGAGACUACACGCCAAACUCCAGUCACGAAAUCAGAAAUCAUCGCGUACCUGAAUGGCGCGAUACAUGAUGCCACCUUGAACAAAGGUAAUCGCGUCAGGUUCGGCCAGAAAGAUAUCCGAUGGUUAGAGUAUCUGAAGGUAUUGCUUAAGAAUAUUGGAUGCAAUUCAUGGAUUUAUAAGGAGGGGCGAACAAGAAAUUUGUAUGUUCUUGAAACCCUUUGCAAAGAUUUGGAUUUCAAAUUGAAUGCAACAACUCUAAAAUCCAAAAGAGAAAAAAUGUUCUAUAUCAGGGGAUUUUUUGACGCUGAAGGAGGAACUCCUGUUAACUCAGGCAGAUUCUACAUCCAGCUGGUUCAGAAAAACUUCGGGAAGAUAAAGAACCUUAAAAUUCUCAUAGAGGAUUUAGGAAUUAAUGUUGGGAAAAUGCAUAAUCCAAGCCGGCGAGUUAAUCCUGACUAUUGGCGGAUAUUUAUCCGAGCCGAUAGCCAUAGGAAAUUCGCUGAAAUCAUAAAUUCAAACCAUCCAAUAAAAGCAGUAGCAUUUCGUGAGAGGAUGAAGAUAUAGUCCGAUCUGUACAGCGAUGUACAG
rnacentral:ncRNA from 1 species